rnacentral:rRNA from 1 species
GAUGAACGCUGGCGGCGUGCCUAAUACAUGCAAGUCGAGCGAACGGACGAGAAGCUUGCUUCUCUGAUGUUAGCGGCGGACGGGUGAGUAACACGUGGAUAACCUACCUAUAAGACUGGGAUAACUUCGGGAAACCGGAGCUAAUACCGGAUGAUAUUUUGAACCGCAUGGUUCAAAAGUGAAAGACGGUCUUGCUGUCACUUAUAGAUGGAUCCGCGCUGCAUUAGCUAGUUGGUAAGGUAACGGCUUACCAAGGCAACGAUGCAUAGCCGACCUGAGAGGGUGAUCGGCCACACUGGAACUGAGACACGGUCCAGACUCCUACGGGAGGCAGCAGUAGGGAAUCUUCCGCAAAGGGCGAAAGCCUGACGUAGCAACGCCGCGUGAGUGAUGAAGGUCUUCGGAUCGUAAAACUCUGUUAUUAGGGAAGAACAUAUGUGUAAGUAACUGUGCACAUCUUGACGGUACCUAAUCAGAAAGCCACGGCUAACUACGUG